rnacentral:rRNA from 1 species
GUCAAAAGCACCAAUGACUUGGAACAACCGUUGUGACCGGACCGAAAGGUCCGCCCACAACGCUGAUGUUGUCGUUUCUUUCUCGGUUUGGUGGUCAUAGCGCGAGCAAAACACCCGAUCCCAUCCCGAACUCGGCCGUUAAGUGCCGUCGCGCCAAUGGUACUGCGUCUUAAGACGUGGGAGAGUAGGUCACCGCCAAAC